AUGUUGAUCUAUAUUAUUAUACUGCUGUUAUCAACUGAAGGUUCCAGAGCCUCAGAAGUCAUCACUCCAAAAAGAGACAGAGAAUUUGCUCGUGAGAGUGAUAAUGUGACACUCUCCUGUAACUACAGCGGUUCUGCUCGUGGUGUUCACUGGUAUCGGCAAUAUGCAGGAUCACCACCACAGUUCCUCAUACUGGAAGAUUCAGGGGUUACAACUCCAGCUAAUCCACCCGUUCCAGGAAUAACCAUCAAACACAGAAAAAAAGAAAGCCAUGUGGAUCUGAUCAUCUCCUCUGCUAAAGUAUCAGACUCUGCUCUGUACUACUGUGGCUGA